rnacentral:rRNA from 1 species
CGUGAGUGAUGAAGGCCCUAGGUUGUAAAGCUCUUUCACCGGUGAAGAUAAUGACGGUAACCGGAGAAGAAGCCCCGGUUAACUUCGUGCCAGCAGCCGCGGUAAUACGAAGGGGGCUAGCGUUGUUCGGAUUUACUGGGCGUAAAGCGCACGUAGGCGGACUUUUAAGUCAGGGGUGAAAUCCCGGGGCUCAACCCCGGAACUGCCUUUGAUACUGGAAGUCUUGAGUAUGGUAGAGGUGAGUGGAAUUCCGAGUGUAGAGGUGAAAUUCGUAGAUAUUCGGAGGAACACCAGUGGCGAAGGCGGCUCACUGAACCAUUACUGACGCUGAGGUGCGAAAGCGGGGGGAGCAAACAGGAUUAGAUACCCUGGUAGUCCACGCCGUAAACGAUGAAUGUUAGCCGUUGGGGAGUUUACUCUUCGGUGGCGCAGCUACACGCAUUAAACAUUCCGCCUGGGGAGUACGGUCGCAAGAUUAAAACUCAAGGAAUUGACGGGGCCCGCACAAGCGG